UACGUAGGGGGCAAGCGUUGACCGGAUUCAUUGGGCGUAAAGAGCGUGUAGGCGGCCAGGUAGGUCGGUUGUGAAAACUGGAGGCUCAACCUUCAGAGGUCGACCGAAACCAUCUGGCUAGAGUCCGGGAGAGGAGAGUGGAAUUCCUGGUGUAGCGGUGAAAUGCGCAGAUAUCAGGAAGAACACCCGUGGCGAAAGCGGCUCUCUGGAACGGUACUGACGCUGAGACGCGAAAGCGUGGGGAGCGAACAGG
rnacentral:rRNA from 1 species